rnacentral:rRNA from 1 species
GACGAACGCUGGCGGCGUGCUUAACACAUGCAAGUCGAACGGAAAGGCCCUGCUUUUGUGGGGUGCUCGAGUGGCGAACGGGUGAGUAACACGUGAGUAACCUGCCCUUGACUUUGGGAUAACUUCAGGAAACUGGGGCUAAUACCGGAUAGGAGCUCCUGCUGCAUGGUGGGGGUUGGAAAGUUUCGGCGGCUGGGGAUGGACUCGCGGCUUAUCAGCUUGUUGGUGGGGUAGUGGCUUACCAAGGCUUUGACGGGUAGCCGGCCUGAGAGGGUGACCGGCUACAUUGGGACUGAGAUACGGCCCAGACUCCUACGGGAGGCAGCAGUGGGGAAUAUUGCACAAUGGGCGGAAGCCUGAUGCAGCAACGCCGCGUGCGGGAUGACGGCCUUCGGGUUGUAAACCGCUUUCGCCUGUGACGAAGCGUGAGUGACGGUAAUGGGUAAAGAAGCACCGGCUAACUACGUG